AAGAAAAUUUGAUGUAACGCCUCUUUUGGAAAUUACUUGUUGUCAUGGACCUCUACCUAGAGCAGUGAGCCACAAGUCCCACUAUUAAGGGAUGCAAAGAAUUUGCUGAGUAGGAUGCAAGGGAUAAAUGCCACUGAAGAUUGAACUCUACUGGUAUUUUCAAUAGCACUUCUAUUGUUUUGGUAAUGCUUUGGCCCCACAGUUUUCUAUUUUUAGGAUUUUUCACUAUCCCAACUUCCUGCAUACUUAAUGCAUGUGGUUUGGAAGUUGAGGGGGUAUUUCAGAAAUACAUGUAUUGAGUUUUCACAGGAAUUCUUGUAUUUAGGUACUGAGUAGAAUUUUCUGAAUUUGUUUUUGUUUCCACACAUGUAUAUUUGUAUAUAUUGUUGUUGUUGUUGUUUUCUGCUGCUGCUACCUGAACAUUUCACACUCUUGACAGGUUUUGUGACUGAGGAGGCAUGAUGUGAACUCAUUCAAUAAGAGCAAUAUGUUUGUUAGCAAUUUCUGCUUAGAGUCCUGCCCUGUUCUCCUUGAUUGCUCAGGCUGUUAACAUCAGAACGAAUAGGUCAGAAGCGGGUGUGGUGCAGUUUGCAGAAUGGCCACCAGAGGGCAGGGCUUCCUUCAGAUGCGGUGCAGGUUUGGAUGCAGGGGCUGCUGCUUGGCAGCCACAAGGCAUUUGCCUGCUCCUGGGCAGGAGGGGCUCUACGUUUGCACAAGUUCUCGCUGGAUUUUAGCCCUGUUAGUUUCGGUGUAUUCCAGAGAGCAAGGCCUAGUUUCUUUUGCUAACAUGCUUUCUGCCACUCACCCCGUUCUUGUGAUCUUCUUAGUCAUCAGAGGGACCAACGGAGACUCAGUGAACCAGACAGAAGCCUCAGUGGUUCUUCAAGAGGAGGCACCUUUGACACUGAGCUGCACUUACCAGACCAUUUCUUCAGAUCCCUAUCUUUUCUGGUACGUCCAGUAUCUCAACAAAGCUCCUCAACUCCUCCUGAAGGGGUCAACUGCAAACCCGAGGCCCAAGGAGCAAGGUUUCCAGGCCACUCUGGUUAAGAGUGACAAGACCUUCCACCUGCAGAAACGCUCAGUGCAAACAUCAGACUCGGCUGUGUAUUACUGUGCCGUGAGUGACACAGUGAGAGGGGCUGCAGGGGGAGCCGAGCACAAACCCAGAGGGCACAGGUGGGGACUGGCUGUGGGCUGCCCUGGGAGGCGGGGGUUCUUCUCUGUCUCUGCUCUGGCAUGCUGGAGGCAUCCUCAGGGUAUUUCCAGCUCUGAUGCUCAGAGCCAGGAUCCUUGGAAUUCUUGGAUUGCUGGACAGAGAGGAAUCUAGGCCAGGGCAGUUUAAGAGGAACCUAAGAGCUCGUCUCAGAAAUGCCUUUCUUCUCAGCCCAGCCUCUUUCCUCCAGAUGGCACAGAAUUUCUUGGAAGUGACACUAGCUCCAGCGUCUUCCUGUCAUCACGGCAGCUCUUACAGAACACUCAAUAAUCAUCCCACUUCUGGACUUGAGAUCUGUGCUUUGAGAAACUCUGGAUUCUGGACAUGGCCAGGACUGCAUAACCUAAUGUCUUGAUUCUAUCAUGGCAUUUAUGCCUGUGGUCCUUCUGAAGUGAGUCCGAUUCAGUGGCCAAGGAAACACUCAUGUGUUUGUUUAUGCAGAGACGAGGACACACAUGGACUCUUGUUCACUGGGACCCCCAAGGGCUUACAGUAGUCCCUAGUUUCUCCACCAAAGGAACACAAACCAGAGAAAUGUGUGCCUCUCAUGGAAACCCUCCGGGGAUGUGGCUCAGCAAGAGACGCUUGUCCUAACACCCUGGAGAUCCCUGCAUGUCCUCUGUCCUUUGUCCGUCUUGCAUGAUUCACUGGGCCUGAUGGGUCUGCAUGCAGUUUUCGGGGCCUGAAGGUUCUUUGAUUCCUGAGGCUCUCCCUAAGAAAUAGAACCUAGAACUACAAAUACAUGUUUCUGGGCCCUAGGAUCAUAGGUCUAUUUUGACCCAUGGGAACUCAGCCUCUGGGAUCCCAUAAAGAUCACCGUCUUCUUUAAGACCCAGCUUCCUAAUUGUCUCAUUUUGUCCUGAUAUUUCUAGUACCCACAGGUUCUAGUACCACAGGAAUAGAAUCAUAUGGUGUCUGGCCCUUGGUGACCGUCUUUCACAGAGCAGAAUCUUCUCAAGGUCUGUCCAGUUAACAGUACUUCCCUACUUCUUGUGGUGGCGUAACAGUCCACCGUCUGAAAACCCCAGUUUCUUUAUUCAUUCAUCCCUUGGCCAUUCAGUCAAUGUUUCCACUUUUUAGAUGUUACGAACAAGGCUGCAAUGAACAUUCAUGUACACUAGCUCUGUCACUCUAAACUCUAAUAAACUUUGAAUUAUGAGUUUUGGCUUUUGCUUUGUUGUCUCUUAUGUUUUGUUUUCUUUAGUUUUG